rnacentral:rRNA from 1 species
GACGAACGCUGGCGGCGUGCUUAACACAUGCAAGUCGAACGGAAAGGCCCUGCUUUUGUGGGGUGCUCGAGUGGCGAACGGGUGAGUAACACGUGAGUAACCUGCCCUUGACUUUGGGAUAACUUCAGGAAACUGGGGCUAAUACCGGAUAGGAGCUCCUGCUGCAUGGUGGGGGUUGGAAAGUUCGGCGGUUGGGGAUGGACUCGCGGCUUAUCAGCUUGUUGGUGGGGUAGUGGCUUACCAAGGCUUUGACGGGUAGCCGGCCUGAGAGGGUGACCGGCCACAUUGGGACUGAGAUACGGCCCAGACUCCUACGGGAGGCAGCAGUGGGGAAUAUUGCACAAUGGGCGGAAGCCUGAUGCAGCAACGCCGCGUGCGGGAUGACGGCCUUCGGGUUGUAAACCGCUUUCGCCUGCGACGAAGCGUGAGUGACGGUAAUGGGUAAAGAAGCACCGGCUAACUACGUG